UAGGGAAUCUUCCGCAAUGGACGCAAGUCUGACGGAGCAACGCCGCGUGAGUGAAGAAGGAUUUCGGUUCGUAAAACUCUGUUGUUAGAGAAGAACAGCGCAUAGAGUAACUGUUAUGCGUGUGACGGUAUCUAACCAGAAAGCCACGGCUAACUACGUGCCAGCAGCCGCGGUAAUACGUAGGUGGCAAGCGUUGUCCGGAUUUAUUGGGCGUAAAGCGAGCGCAGGCGGUCAAUUAAGUCUGAUGUGAAAGCCCCCGGCUCAACCGGGGAGGGGCAUUGGAAACUGGUUGACUUGAGUGCAGAAGAGGAGAGGGGAAUUCCAUGUGUAGCGGUGAAAUGCGUAGAUAUAUGGAGGAACACCAGUGGCGAAGGCGACUCUCUGGUCUGUAACUGACGCUGAGGCUCGAAAGCGUGGGUAGCAAACAGG
rnacentral:rRNA from 1 species